UACGGAGGAUCCGAGCGUUAUCCGGAUUUAUUGGGUUUAAAGGGUGCGUAGGCGGCCUGUUAAGUCAGGGGUGAAAGACGGUAGCUCAACUAUCGCAGUGCCCUUGAUACUGAUGGGCUUGAAUGUACUAGAGGUAGGCGGAAUGUGACAAGUAGCGGUGAAAUGCAUAGAUAUGUCACAGAACACCAAUUGCGAAAGCAGCUUACUAUGGUAUUAUUGACGCUGAGGCACGAAAGCGUGGGGAUCAAACAGG
rnacentral:rRNA from 1 species